rnacentral:rRNA from 1 species
AUUACACGAUAUCGACUCUGUCGAAUAAAGUUCUGGGUAAAUUAUGAUAAUGACAUUUUUUACCCAUGUGUCUUGACCAAAUUGUGUGCCAGCAGUCGCGGUAAUACAUAGAAGACUAGUGUUAUUCAUCUUUAAUAGGUUUAAAGGGUACCUAGACGGCAAAUCAAGCCAUAAACGGAACUAAUUUGCUUGAGUUACUUAUGAGGGGGCUUUAAAGUACUAAUGGUGUAGAGAUAAAAUUUUGUAAUACCAUUUUUCGUAAAGAAAAGUUAUGGCACUGGUAAAGGCGAAGGCAUCCCCCUAUGUGAUAACUGACGUUGAAGGACGAAGGCUUUGGGUCGCGAAUAGGAUUAGAUACCCUAGUAGUCAAAGCAGAAAAUUAUGAGUGUCAUAGAUUAGACUAGGAAGUUUAUUCUAUAAAUGAAAGUGUAAGCACUCCACCUCAAGAGUAAUUUGGCAACAUUGGAACUGAAAUCAUUAGACCGUUUCUGAAACCAGUAGUGAAGUAUGUUGUUUAAUUCGAUGAUCCGCGAAAAACCUUACCACAAUUUGAAUAUUUAUAUCUCUGAUAUAUUUACAAGCGUUGCACGGCUGUCUUCAGUUAAUGUCGUGAGACUUUGGUUAGAUCCAUUAAAUUAACGUAAGCCCUUACUUUAUUUUUAUAUAAAGUAGUUCUCCACCAUAUUGGACAAGAUAACAGGGACUAAGA